rnacentral:rRNA from 1 species
UACGAAGGGGGCUAGCGUUGUUCGGAAUUACUGGGCGUAAAGGGCGCGUAGGCGGUCCUGAUCGUCGGAUGUGAAAGGCCUGGGCUCAACCUGGGAAUGGCAUCCGAUACGGCGGGACUGGAGUGUGGGAGAGGUUGGUGGAAUUCCCAGUGUAGAGGUGAAAUUCGUAGAUAUUGGGAAGAACACCGAUGGCGAAGGCAGCCAUCUGGACCGACACUGACGCUGAGGCGCGAAAGCGUGGGGAGCAAACAGG